rnacentral:lncRNA from 1 species
UUCCUUUGGCUAAUUUGAGUGAUGGGUAUUGUUUAAUUUGUUUCGAUUGGACACUGAUUAGGGAAAUUUGUUAUCUUUUGGGGUUUUUGUAAUGAUAGCGGAAAAGGCAAUGCAGAAGUUGAACUAUAGUACUCUCAAUGGGAAGAUGAUUCGGAUUACUUACUCGUCUCGUGACUCUUCUGCUCGUAGAAGUGGUGUUGGGAAUUUGUUUGUAAAGGUAUAUUCUUUUGUUUGAAUUCUCUUCUUUAGCAGGUUUGAUUGUCUAAUUAUGUGUUUGUUUUCUAUAUGUGAAGAAUUUGGAUAAGUCAGUUGACAACAAAACUCUGCACGAGACGUUUUCCGGGUGUGGGACUAUUGUGUCCUGUAAGGUUGCUGCUGAUCAUAUGGGUCAGUCUAGAGGAUAUGGGUUUGUGCAGUUUGAUACUGAGGAUUCAGCUAAGAAUGCUAUUGAGAAGCUGAAUGGCAAAGUGUUGAAUGACAAACAGAUUUUUGUUGGACCUUUUCUUCGUAAGGAGGAAAGAGAGUCUGCUGCUGAUAAGAUGAAGUUUACCAAUGUUUAUGUGAAGAAUCUGUCGGAGGUGACUACUGAUGAUGAGUUGAAGACUACUUUUGGUCAGUAUGGUAGUAUUUCGAGCGCUGUGGUUAUGAGGGACGGAGAUGGGAAAUCCAGGUGUUUUGGAUUUGUCAACUUUGAGAAUCCUGAAGAUGCGGCUCGUGCUGUUGAAGCUCUCAACGGAAAGAAGUUUGAUGAUAAGGAGUGGUAUGUUGGUAAAGCUCAGAAGAAAUCUGAGAGGGAACUUGAGUUGAGCCGAAGAUAUGAACAAGGCUCAAGUGAUGCAGGAAACAAGUUUGAUGGGUUGAAUUUAUAUGUUAAAAACCUUGAUGAUACCGUUACCGAUGAGAAGUUGCGUGAGUUGUUUGCUGAAUUUGGUACAAUUACUUCUUGCAAGGUCAGCAUUGUUUGUUUUCCUUAUACAUAAUAACAUGAGCAAUGCAAAUUUUUUCUCUUGAUUGAUUGGAAACUCUUACCUUUUAACAAACAGGUUAUGCGUGACCCUAGUGGUACAAGCAAAGGAUCAGGAUUUGUUGCCUUCUCUGCUGCCAGUGAAGCUUCG